rnacentral:lncRNA from 13 species
AUGCCAGCUCUGUGGGCCCUCAGAAUCUACUGGCUGAAGAAAACAGAAGCCAGAAGCCGCUAUGCUUCCUGUACAGUCUACAGAACUGAACCAAGAAGGGCAGCUUGGUUUUCUUCCACUGACACCAUCAUUGAUUUCUUCCCUUCUUUGGCCCAUGGCGCAGCUGAGAGAGGCCCAAGAAACCCAUUAAGAGCUUCCCACUGCCUCCAGGAGACCGUGUCACCUCCUUUCAGGGCUCCGUCUCCUCUACCUCUCCCUCUUGCCCUCAGCCAGGCCGUCAUAUUCUCUCUGCUGCAGCCAUGCCACGCUCCUUGUGCUUCCUCAGACAUGCCACACUCUCCAGCCUUUUCUCCAGUCUCUUUUACAUGCUCUUCCUUUGGCUGAAACGAAUUUCCCUCUUACUGUUGUCCUGCUGAAGCCUCAUCAAGCUUCAGACCUCAACGUGCAUGUCAUUUCCUCAGGAAGGUCUUUGCUGACCUCUACAAUGAGGUAGCUCCCAGAUGACCCAGCACUUCCCUUAUCUGAGGCCUCAUUAAACCUCAUGGUGACUGACUGUUCCCUUCAUGCCUUUCUUCUCCAAGCUGCAGGGGAGGGCACAGACCGCAUCUGACUGGAUCACCCUUGUAUUUCCGGGGCCUGGCCUAUAAUUUGGUGGAUUCAGGGACAACUUCCUGGGUGGGGAACCUGUGCAGUCACACAGGGACUCAUGCUUAGACAAGUGGCUUAAAUGUUUGGCUUAAUGCUGUCGCCGUCUAGAAACUUAUUUAUUUAGUUACUUUUUGAGACAGGGUCUUGCUCUGUCACCCCGUCUGGAGUGCAGUGGCAUGAUCUCAGCUCACUGAAACCUCUGCCUCCCAUGUUCAGAUGAUUCUCUUGCCUCAGCCUCUCGAGUAGCCUCUCGAGUACCUGCCACCAUGCCCAGCUAAUUUUUUUAAUUUUUAAUUUUUAGUAGGACGGGGUUUUACUAUGUUGGCCAGGCUGGUUUUGAACUCCUGACCUCAAGUGAUCUGCCUACCUCAGCCUCCCAAAGUGCUCAGAUUACAGGUGUGAGCCACUGUGCUUGGCCGCCAUCUAGAAAAUUCUUAAUUUUUGAACAAGAGGCCUCAUAUUGUCAUUUUGCACUGAGCCUCAUAUAUUAUGAAACUGAUACUAUGUGAAUGAGUAAAUGAAUCAAUGGAAAUGUAUUAAUCCUUACAAUAUAUUGAGCCAAGGAAACUAAAGCUUCUGAAGUCCUCAUUCUGAACAAGAUAGAAUAAUUUAGGAAAAGUUGCAAUGUAUUAUGCAGAUGCCUUUAUGAUCUGUUUUGCUGUUUUUCACAUGCUAUUUGUUCAUACGAGAAAAAAGAAGCCUUACCUGAAAGAUAUGUACUGUCUCUCUGUGAGAUGUGUAUCCAUUGAAAAUUACAUUUUAUUCAACUAUAACCAUUAUGAAUUAAAAAAAGAGAAAAAGUAAGUCAAGAAUGAUUUGCUGUGUCUUAUACCUGAUUCAUUAUAACUGGAAAAAAAAGGCACAACUUCUUAAAAAAGAAAAAAAGCAGGAAAAAAUUUGUAAAUAAUAAAUGUUACCUAAAUGUCUACCUCUGUAAGAUU